rnacentral:sRNA from 1 species
CGAGUCCUGCCGCCGUCCGGAUCUGGUCGACACGAGGUAAUCGGCAGGAGUGGAGGACCCAGCAGUACCGGGACGUGCGCACCACGGCCGUCCCUUGGGGUGAAGCCGCGUCAGCGGCCGGGCAACUUCGCCUGCCCGAACCCGACAGGUCAUCCUUCGCAGGCGGAUGACGAAGGGUUG